UCGAUUCCCUUAGUAGCGGCGAGCGAAACGGGAAGAGCCCAAACCAACAAGCUUGCUUGUUGGGGUUGUAGGACACUCUAUACGGAGUUACAAAGGACGACAUUAGACGAAUCAUCUGGAAAGAUGAAUCAAAGAAGGUAAUAAUCCUGUAGUCGAAAAUGUUGUCUCUCUUGAGUGGAUCCUGAGUACGACGGAGCACGUGAAAUUCCGUCGGAAUCUGGGAGGACCAUCUCCUAAGGCUAAAUACUCUCUAGUGACCGAUAGUGAACCAGUACCGUGAGGGAAAGGUGAAAAGCACCCCGGAAGGGGAGUGAAAUAGAACCUGAAACCGUGUGCUUACAAGUAGUCAGAGCCCGUUAAUGGGUGAUGGCGUGCCUUUUGUAGAAUGAACCGGCGAGUUACGAUUUGAUGCAAGGUUAAGCAGUAAAUGUGGAGCCGUAGCGAAAGCGAGUCUGAAUAGGGCGUUUAGUAUUUGGUCGUAGACCCGAAACCAGGUGAUCUACCCUUGGUCAGGUUGAAGUUCAGGUAACACUGAAUGGAGGACCGAACCGACUUACGUUGAA
rnacentral:rRNA from 1 species